rnacentral:rRNA from 1 species
UACGUAGGGUGCAAGCGUUAAUCGGAAUUACUGGGCGUAAAGCGUGCGCAGGCGGUUUGUAAGUCUGUCGUGAAAUCCCCGGGCUCAACCUGGGAAUUGCGAUGGAGACUGCAAGGCUAGAAUCUGGCAGAGGGGGUAGAAUUCCACGUGUGAGCAGUGAAAUGACGUAGAGAUGUGGAGGAACACCGAUGGCGAAGGCAGCCCCUGGGUCAAGAUUGACGCUCAUGC